rnacentral:misc_RNA from 1 species
UCCGGCUUAUCACCGGCGGUUUCUUUAGAGUGCCCAACUAAAUGAUGGUAACUAAAGAUGAGGGUUGCGCUCGUUGCGGGACUUAACCCAACAUCUCACGACACGAGCUGACGACAGCCAUGCAGCACCUGUCUCUACCCCAACUAAAUGAAGGACCUCAUUACAAGGUCCGGCUGGUAGGAUGUCAAGAGCUGGUAAGGUUUUUCGCGUAGCCUCGAAUUAAACCACAUGCUCCACCGCUUGUGCGGGUCCCCGUCAAUUCCUUUGAGUUUUAAUCUUGCGACCGUACUCCCCAGGCGGGGUGCUUAACGCGUUAGCUGCGAUACCGAGACUAAUGUCCCGACAUCUAGCACCCAUCGUUUAGGGCGUGGACUAC